AGAGAACCUAGCGGUUACGCCAACGCGCGCGUGCGCCCUUGCGCGUUUCUCUCUUCCCACUCGGGUUUGACCUACAGCCGCCCGGGAGAAGAUGGCUGCCCCAGCAGUGUCCGGGCUCUCCCGGCAGGUGAGAGAAAGGUGGUCCUGAGAGCCAGUGGGAGGAUCCCUCCUGGGAUGACCGGUACCAAACCUCGAGCACCAGGGUGCGAUGCUUCGGCUGGGGAAGUCUGGCAGUCUUCAAGGUUAUGGGACCUGGCGAGUGGGAGCGACUCAGGACGACCCAGCGUUUGUCCCCCGGGAUGCCUACGGGGCAGUAGGCGCGGGGCUGCGCGUGCCGUAACCUUGGCGUCUUCCGAGCACAGCCCCUGGAAGCUGCUAGCCUGAGGGGCGCAGGAGAGGGGGUCUGCCCUUCGCUGAAUUCCGGGGAAGGGGCAUGGACUAGCCCCCAAAUCAGCUUCCUUUGCCAUUGUGGUAAAACCUGUCAGAGAUCACUUACUAGUAAUGCUAAGGAAUAUUUGUAAAACACAUUUCACAGUUUUAUAAAUAAAAUGAGGCCGAAAAGUUUAAAUGAGUCUUUGGCUGCUCAGUCAGUAAGUGGUAGAAUUGAGAUUUGAACCCACGGAAUCACCCAGAAGAUCGAGUUUGAAAAAAUGUUAUGCUGUUUGUGCUGCAUCUCACCAUGGUGCUUUACAUAUCAUGACCCCUUCCUGGCAUCUUAGACUGAUCCGUCAAUCUUGGGUGGAAUGAUUGUGCGCAUUGGCGAGAAAUAUGUUGACAUGUCUGUCAAGACCAAGAUUCAGAAGCUGGGCAGGGCUAUGCGGGAGAUUGUCUAAAAGUGUUGGUUUUCUGCCAUCAGUGAAAAUUCUUAAACUUGGAGCAACAAUAAAAAGCUUCCAGAACAGAUC
rnacentral:lncRNA from 10 species